CGAAAAUAGAGGUGAGUUUUGCAUCUUUUAUGCAUGAGUCCACUUCUGUGUUGCAAUUUAUGUAAAUUUUUAUUCUAAUUGCAAUGUAUCUGACCUACUAACCUGAGUUCUGGCAAAAUUGUUUGUCUUUUAAGAGCUUACAUGUUUACUCCAUGAGAAUAACUUAGGUGCAUUGGUAGCUUCAAAACCAUAGCUUGGUGAUCUUGGCCUGGUGUCUCUUUGUCCUGUUUCUAAAAUCCCUGAAAUGAGCAAACUUUGGAACAAUUAGUAAGCUAGAUUGCCCAAGUUUCCUGUUUGCAAGAAUUGAAGGCACCUUACUUUCAAGGUUGUUUCUUGAAGUUCUUGCACUUGAUUGGCUUUUGAGAAACCCCCAUAAUUUUUUUUUUUGUUUACCUUUGUUUUAUAUGGCGUUUAUGACUUUUAUAAUUUGCAUAGAAUUUUAUUUUCCAUAGUAUUGGCCUAACAUUUGAUUUUCUCUUAUAUUCAUUUGAUUCACUAUUAAAAAACCCUAUAUAUAUAGUUUAUGUUUCUUUUAUGUGGCAUUACAUUUCCAGUUUAUAUAGUAUUUUAUUUUGCAUAAUAUUGGUCUAACAUUUGAUGGUCUUCAUUUUCCAGAUGACCAAUUUGAUCAUGUAGGUUCCAUUCUUGUAAAUAUAUCACAGAAAGAAGCAGGUAGGAAAAUGUUACUGGACCCUAAGCGAGGAUUGCUGAAGCAGAUUCUCAGACAAUUUGACUCAACUAAUCCAUUGCGGAAGAAAGGGGUAUGCAUAAGUUAAAAACUCGAGUUCUAAGCUUCUUUAGAGAGCUCUUGAAUUCACUUGAUGGUUGCAUCUGUUUGUGUGAACAGAAUAUUUCUUUUGGACUUUCAUGAGUAGCACUUGUUUAUGUGAGUGGAAAAGCUAAGGGGUGGAGUUUGUGGGCAAUUGCUGAAACUUGCACAUCAUUUUGCGUGCGGUCUGCUAUUGUAGUUGUGCUUUUAAUUGUUGCGAAGUUCCCUAUAUUUGAAUUCUGUUACUUUGCCAAACAUGGAUAUACUCAAAGACAAAACAGCUGGGCAUGAGAUGUUUUCAUUCAUGGAUGUCUGGCCAAACCAAUCUUCUGCAAAUAUUUUGAAGUGACAUGAGUGUUGUGUGUAUAAAGUUCAGAAUAACUCUUUCCUUGUUUAAAAUGUGCUAACUCUUCUUGAGGACUCAAGGUUGGUCCAUAAAUUCGUUGCAUGCCAAGCAGACAUUGCAAGAUUAAUAGUACUGUAGCUUGCACAUUUCUGUUGCUACUUCCUUUUGGCACGUCAUUAUCUUUUCUCAUUGUUUGAAUUCUAUUUUUUACCUCUCAGGUAAAAAACAGAUACUGUAGAAAUUUUUUAGUAGGACUUUUUUAGGAGUGAGCUGUUUAAGAGUUUUUGAGUGAGCUUUGCUUGGCAUGGCAUGGCAUGGCUUUGAGUGAGUUUUUGAGUUUCUGAGGCUUGGCGGAUCAUAUGCAUGACGAGCAAAAUGAACAAAGCCAAGCUUGACUAACCCCAUUGCUUAGCUUUCCAGGUAAUUAGUGGGAUUACAUUUUGAUUACAGGUUUCUGGAACGAUUCGCAACUGCUGUUUUGAAGCUGAGAAUCAGCUACAAGAUUUACUUUUGACAUCUGAAUUUCUUUGGCCAGCUCUACUUCUGCCUGUUGCUGGCAAAAAGAUAUACAGUGAACAAGAUACAUCAAAAAUGCCUCUUGAGCUUGGCAGCGCACUCUCAAUUGAGCGUGAACCAUGUGAUGACCCUGAAAUUCGUGUUCAAGCAUUGGAGUCUAUUUACUUGAUCACAUUACAGGAGGCUGGUCUAAGAGCCUUUUGGUCUGUCAAUGGACCUCGUAUACUACAAGUUGGGUAUGAAGAUGAGCAGGAUCCUAAAGUAAUGGAAGCAUAUGAACAAGUUGGCUCCUUGCUCGUUCAUGAAAGUGGGACAGCGGUGUCCUCCAAUGAAACCUCAUACUCAUAGUAGCAAUGCUUUGAUACAAUAUUGUUUCCAAAUCAGAUAACAUUUCAAUUUUUAAGAAGCUGAAAUUUUCAUUGUCAAGAUCAAGAACUCAAGCAACAUUUUGGCCAAUUGUUGUGCUGUAGGUACAUGGGAUCAUGCCUACAAUUUAUCAGAGAAUGGUUUCUGGUGUUUUGUAAUGUAUGAUUUUGUCAGUAAUCUAGAUUAUCAAGUAAAAGAAUAUAAGGAAAGUAGCCACUUAGUCUUGGCUUUAGGAAGAACUUUUGAACCAAUGUGAUCUUUAUUUACAAGUGUGGUACUGUUGUCCUUUUUACUCACUGUCAUCUCAGUGUAACUGUGUAUGUGAACUUUAUACAUUUUUUAUUAUCGGCUUUGGCAUUGC
rnacentral:misc_RNA from 1 species